CACCUCGGCACUACUCUGGUUGAAAUCUGGUGCAUGGAUGCCAAACCCUAACAAGAGCCCUCUAAUGCGUUGUUGAGGAGAAUGCAGCCAUACACCUUUAUGCAGUCUAACCUGUCCUCAGAAUAAUGUCAACUAACUUGAGGAAGUAAGGAUUUUGUAAGGAAAAACUGCAUGACUCACCAUACACCAGCUCCACAGGUGUAAUGGUAUCAUGUAAGAUUCACAUUCUUUUGACCAGGGUUCGUUUC